AUUUUCUACUUACAUACUACUUGUUGCCUCAGGAGCACUGAAGAGAGAUAUGUUUUAUUGUCUGUUCAGAUCACAAAUGGAAGAAUUGAGGACACUGUAUCUGCAGGGGUGGACCGUUUUGGGAGUAAGUGUCAAAACUGAUGCUCAAAGAAAAGAUUAACUGGAUUGUGAGUGUACCAUGCCGUGAGGUCACAAGAACAUGGUUUGUCUUGGGGUUAAAAUCAAAAGGAGUAACUGUGUCUUCUUAACCACUUUAAGAGGUCAUGUGCCACAAUUGACAUUCACUCACUAAAGAGGUCAUGAGACACU